UACAGAGGGUGCGAGCGUUGUCCGGAAUCACUGGGCGUAAAGCGCACGUAGGCGGAUGUGUCAGUCAGGGGUGAAAUCCCGGAGCUCAACUUCGGAACUGCCUUUGAUACAGCACGUCUUGAGUCCGAUAGAGGUGGGUGGAAUUCCUAGUGUAGAGGUGAAAUUCGUAGAUAUUAGGAAGAACACCGGUGGCGAAGGCGGCCCACUGGAUCGGUACUGACGCUGAGGUGCGAAAGCGUGGGGAGCAAACAGG
rnacentral:rRNA from 1 species